UUGAACGUUCACUGAGUUUUCUUCUGCACGUACCCCAGUUAUGUGUUCUUGAACAAGGUAGUGAGGUGCAAAGCGAUCACAGCGCAAAGGUGAUUGUAACUCCCAUACCUUAACGUAGACUUACCACUUACGACUCACACAGGAACACUUACACCCCUCCCAGGGUUUGUUCCUUCACGGGAAGAGGCAGUCGAAGCGCCAAGAUGGUGUGUACGGAACCAGGCGUACAUACGCAUGGAAUGGAUUCCCUAAAAACAAGAAAUUGUAUGUUCUUUGAAUCAACACUGAUCCCAUCUUGUUUUGUCAAAGUCUCAUUGCACAGGAUAGGAUAUUUCGAAGAUGGCUUGAAUGGAUUAAAAGAAAACCAGGCAAAACAAAAAGACUCUGCUGGCAUGUAACAAAUUCAAUAAAUUGAAGCAACCU